AUAAUCAAAUUUUAAGACGUAUUAUAAAGUGAUCUUCAUCAAAACUGAAUUUUGCUGAAUCAAAGCCAGGACAAAGACUCUACUAAAAUAGUGAUUCCAGAGAACAUGGUGAAAGCCCGUCUCUACUAGAAAUACAAAACUUAGUUGGGCGUGGUGGCAGGAGCCUGUAAUCCCAGCUAGUCGGAGGCUGAGGCGCGAGAAUUGCUUGAACCGGGAGGUGGAGGUUGCAGUGAGCUGAGAUUGUGCCACUACACUCCAGCUUGGGCAA
rnacentral:lncRNA from 1 species